rnacentral:tRNA from 1 species
GCCGAAGUGAUGGAAUGGCAUACAUGACGGUCUCAAAAACCGUUGAGCGAAAGCUCGUGAGGGUUCAACUCCCUCCUUCGGCACCA